ensembl:snoRNA small nucleolar RNA SNORD52
GGGAAUGAUGAGUUCUCAGACUAUAGUCGCUGACGCUGGUUCUGAAGUGAAAAGUUCUGACUC